UACAGAGGGCGCGAGCGUUGUCCGGAAUCACUGGGCGUAAAGGGCGCGUAGGUGGCCACCAUAAGGCCGCGGUGAAAGUUCGGGGCUCAACCCCGAAUCGGCCGCGGCGACUGUGGGGCUCGGGUACUGUAGAGGCAGAUGGAAUUCCGGGUGUAGCGGUGGAAUGCGUAGAGAUCCGGAAGAACACCAAUGGCGAAGGCAGCUCGCUGGGACGGUACUGACGCUGAGGCGCGAAAGCGUGGGGAGCAAACAGG
rnacentral:rRNA from 1 species